GAGGGUGUAGCUCAGUGGUAGAGUGAGUGCAUGUGUGCUUAGAAUGCACAAGAUCCUGGGUUCAAUCCCCAGCACCUCCA
rnacentral:tRNA from 1 species